rnacentral:rRNA from 1 species
CCUACGGGAGGCAGCAGUAAGGAAUAUUGGACAAUGCUCGCAAGAGUGAUCCAGCCAUGCCGCGUGCAGGAAGAAUGCCCUAUGGGUAGUAAACUGCUUUUGAACUAGAGAAAACCCCAGUACGUGUACUGGGCUGAUAGUAUAGUUAGAAUAAGCAUCGGCUAACUUCGUGCCAGCAGCCGCGGUAAGACGAAGGAUGCAAGCGUUAUCCGGAUUCAUUGGGUUUAAAGGGAGCGUAGGUGGACUGAUAAGUCAGUGGUGAAAUCUCCGAGCUUAACUCGGAAAUUGCCAUUGAUACUGUUGGUCUUGAGUACAGUUGCUGUGGGCGGAAUAUGACAUGUAGUGGUGAAAUACAUAGAGAUGUCAUAGAACACCGAUUGCGAAGGCAGCUCACAAAGCUGUAACUGACACUGAGGCUCGAAAGUGCGGGGAUCAAACAGGAUUAGAUACCCUGGUAGUCCGCACCGUAAACGAUGAUUACUCGCUGCUAGGGGGCAACCUUUAGUGGCUUAGCGAAAGCGAUAAGUAAUCCACCUGGGGAGUACGCCGGCAACGGUGAAACGUUAAAUGAAUUGACGGCGAGAGACGNGCGAGGACGACACGAGGGGAGGAGG